rnacentral:rRNA from 1 species
AUUGAACGCUGGCGGCAGGCCUAACACAUGCAAGUCGAACGGUAACAGGAAGCAGCUUGCUGCUUUGCUGACGAGUGGCGGACGGGUGAGUAAUGUCUGGGAAACUGCCCGAUGGAGGGGGAUAACUACUGGAAACGGUAGCUAAUACCGCAUAACGUCGUAAGACCAAAGAGGGGGACCUUAGGGCCUCUUGCCAUCGGAUGUGCCCAGAUGGGAUUAGCUAGUAGGUGGGGUAACGGCUCACCUAGGCGACGAUCCCUAGCUGGUCUGAGAGGAUGACCAGCCACACUGGAACUGAGACACGGUCCAGACUCCUACGGGAGGCAGCAGUGGGGAAUAUUGCACAAUGGGCGCAAGCCUGAUGCAGCCAUGCCGCGUGUAUGAAGAAGGCCUUCGGGUUGUAAAGUACUUUCAGCGGGGAGGAAGGGAGUAAAGUUAAUACCUUUGCUCAUUGACGUUACCCGCAGAAGAAGCACCGGCUAACUCCGUG